rnacentral:rRNA from 1 species
UACGAAGGGGGCAAGCGUUGUUCGGAAUUACUGGGCGUAAAGGGCGCGUAGGCGGCCUCUGCAAGUCGACUGUGAAAUCUCCGGGCUUAACCCGGAAAGGUCAGCCGAUACUGCAGGGCUAGAGUGCAGAAGGGGCAACUGGAAUUCUCGGUGUAGCGGUGAAAUGCGUAGAUAUCGAGAGGAACACCUGCGGCGAAGGCGGGUUGCUGGGCUGACACUGACGCUGAGGCGCGAAAGCUAGGGGAGCGAACGGG